ensembl:snRNA U6 U6 spliceosomal RNA
GUGCUUUGGCAGCACGUUACUAAAAUGAGGAUACAGAGGAGAUUCGCAUGGCCCUGUGCAAGGAUAACAGGCACAUCUAUCAACCAUUCCAUAGUUUU